UACUCGAGUGGCGAACGGGUGAGUAACACGUGGGUGAUCUGCCCUUCACUUCGGGAUAAGCCUGGGAAACUGGGUCUAAUACUGGAUAGGACCAUCGUUUAGUGUCGGUGGUGGAAAGUUUUUUCGGUGGAGGAUGAGCUCGCGGCCUAUCAGCUUGUUGGUGGGGUAAUGGCCUACCAAGGCGACGACGGGUAGCCGGCCUGAGAGUGUGGACGGCCACAUUUGGACUGAGACACGGCCCAG
rnacentral:rRNA from 1 species